UUUUUGUCUGGCUUUAAAACUGGGAUUAAACAGUCUGUUUUCCAUUCUGCAGGAAUAGUAUUCUCCUUCCAUAGGCGAUUAAGAUUAUUUAAAAAGAUGUUGAGACUGUGGCAAUUAAGUUUUUUGAGUAAAAUAUAUGGAAUGGUAUCAAGACCGAAAGAUGUAUCUCUUCUAGUAAAUAAAGCGGAUUUUAGUUCUUGUAAAGAAAAAGGCUCUAUCAAAUAUUUAUUACUAUCAUUAACAACAUUUACAUAGUUAGUUAACUCAUUUGAUACAAAGUCAGAAGUAUACUUUUGUAGAAAAUCUGGAAUCCAACUAUCAUUCAACACACUGUCAGGAAUGUAAGUUUUGUUAAAUUUGCGCAUGUAUUUCCAAAUUGAAGACAAAGGAGUACAACGAUUAAAUGAAUUGCACAAGCCUAUCCAGCUAUUUCUUCUUUCACUUUUUAAGAUAAGUUUUUUUAAAGCCCGCAAUCUCUUAAACUCCACAUAAUUUUCAUCAGUGGAGUUGUUUUUAAAAUUAAUGUAACCAUUUUUAGCAUUUAAAACUGCUUCUGUACACCUCUGAUUCCACCAAGGCGACCAAGGAUAUUUAAAAGAUUUUUGUGAACAAGAACUAGUAGCAUUAUUACUAUUAGAACUUUUGGAAAACAGACAGCUAGGGAUUGACUGCUUGGCAGCAGAAAGUAAAAUAUUACAAAAGGAAUUAAAAGCAUCUAUUGAAGAUAAAGUGUCAAAUUUAACAUCAUCCAAAUAAGAAACAACUAAGUUACUAUACAUAUUCCAAUUCACCUGCUUAUAAUUAGGGGAGAUGAUAACUACUGCCCAGAGGACUGUCAAUAACUGACCAGUCACAUAAAAGAGCCAAAGAUGGAGUUACCAAAGUCAAGUCAAGAGCAUUAGGACGCCAAGAUGGAGAUCCUAUUGUGGUAGCUUGACCAUUAUUCAGAAUAACAAGACCAUUCUCAUCUAUAACCUCUAAAACAUCUUUACCUCGAGGCAAUGUAUCAACACAUCCCCACAACAUGUGAUGAGCAUUGAAAUCACCUGCAAAUAUCAUUGGCUCUGGAAUGGACUUAAUUAAACUGUUUAAAUUGUUUUUAUUAAAUGGAGGAUUUGAAUUGGAAGGACUGUAAAAAC